UCUUCAGGCGGCGACCGGCGCACGGGUGAGUAACGCGUAUCGAACCUGCCUCAUACUCAGGAAUAGCCUUGCGAAAGUAAGAUUAAUGCCCGAUGUUAUUAGGAUAUCACAUGAUGUUUUAAUUAAAGAUUUAUCGGUAUGAGAUGGCGAUGCGUCCCAUUAGCUUGUUGGCGGGGUAACGGCCCACCAAGGCAUCGAUGGGUAGGGGUUCUGAGAGGAAGGUCCCCCACAUUGGAACUGAGACACGGUCCAAACUCCUACGGGAGGCAGCAGUGAGGAAUAUUGGUCAAUGGACGCAAGUCUGAACCAGCCAAGUAGCGUGCAGGAUGACGGCCCUCUGGGUUGUAAACUGCUUUUAGUUGGGAAUAAAGUGCAUCACGUGUGAUGCUUUGUAUGUACCAUCAGAAAAAGGACCGGCUAAUUCCGUGCCAGCAGCCGCGGUAAUACGGAAGGUCCAGGCGUUAUCCGGAUUUAUUGGGUUUAAAGGGAGCGCAGGCGGACCUUUAAGUCAGCUGUGAAAUACGGCGGCUCAACCGUCGAACUGCAGUUGAUACUGGAGGUCUUGAGUGCACACAGGGAUACUGGAAUUCAUGGUGUAGCGGUGAAAUGCUCAGAUAUCAUGAAGAACUCCGAUCGCGAAGGCAGGUAUCCGGGGUGCAACUGACGCUGAGGCUCGAAAGUGCGGGUAUCAAACAGGAUUAGAUACCCUGGUAGUCCGCACAGUAAACGAUGAAUACUCGCGAUUUGCGAUACACAGUAAGUCGCCAAGCGAAAGCGUUAAGUAUUCCACCUGGGGAGUACGCCGGCAACGGUGCAACUCAAGUGAAUUGACGG
rnacentral:rRNA from 2 species